GAUCGAUUGACGACGUCCACGCUUCAACUUUCAGUUUUUCAUGCUAACGCCAGACGAAAUUUAGCCGUGAAACCAUUUCUCUCCAACUCUAGUGCUUCAGUCGACGGGUUCUGCAAAAAAAGUAUGGAAAUGGAAGGUAGUUUCAAACUCCCCGACAUUGGAUGAUGAUACAAUUACUAUCAGAGUGGUAGAUCAUUGUAACAUGUAUGCGAGCAUGACUCGAUCCACGGAACAAAAUGUUAGUAGCCUAGAAAAUGUAGAGGAGAAUGACAAUCCACUUCACAGGAGAAAAAGAGCCAAGACAUCAGCGGUGUGGACAAAAUUUAAGGAGAUGGUUCUCCCUGAUGGUACAAAGAAUGUGAGUGCAUCCACUAUAAAACCAAGCUGAAAAUUAAUGUCACUAAAAGCACUACCCAGUUUAAUAGACAUUUGAAGAGGUGUGCAAGGAGAAUAGCUUCUGUAAGGCAACAACAAAUUAAUUUUCCCCUUGCCAAUGUUGAGGCUGCAACUGUUAUCCUGCCUGCUCUACGAGACAAGUUCGAUAUGCUAAAGAUGAGGGAACUUAUUGCCCAUUGAGUGUUGAUGCAUUAACAUCCAUUUACGGUGGUGGAGGAAAAGGGAUUGAACAACGUGAUGAAGUAUGAGAUUCUUGAAUGGAGUCUGAUUUUGCGUAAUACAUGCAAAAAUGAUUGUGUGAAUGUGUAUGAAAAUGAGAAGCAAAAGUUGUAGACGCCAUUGAAGGGUGUUAGGAAGACCAAUCUGACCAUAGAUCUAUGAAAUUUAGACAAUCAAAAGAUGAAGUACAUGGUGUUGACUGGGCAUUGGAUUGAUGAUAAUUGGAAACUGAGUAGACGGGUCCUCAACUUUCUUCAUUUCCCUCCCCGUAGUGGUGUCACCAUUUUUUAUGUCAUUUACAAGUGCUUGAUGGAUUGAGGAAUUGAAAAUAAGGUCCACACGAUCUCAGUGGACAAUGCUACAAGCAAUGAUGUUACAAUUAAAGUCCUCAAGGAAAAUUUCCAAGCUAUGGGGAAGCUCAUUUGUGGGAGCAAAUUGUUUAAUGUAAGAUGCUAUGCACACAUCUUAAACCUGGUUAUUCAAGAUGAUAUUUAUCAAAUUAGACAUAUCAUUGAUGACAUCCAUGAUAGUGUGUCAUAUAUCAAUGCCUCAAAGAGUAGGCUUAAGGUUUUCUCGGAAUUUGUUCAAUAGUUGUGAUUGCCGUUUCGCAAACUUAUUCUUCAUUGCAAAACACAGUGGAAUUCAACAUAUAAAAUGUUGACAAUAAUAAUUAAGUUCAGACGUGUUUUUCAAAGAUUGAAGGAAAGAGAUUUAAGUUAUCAUUAUUGUCCCGAAGAAGAUGAUUGGGACAAAGUAGAGAAAGUAUGUGAUAUUUUGAAGGUUUUUAGUGGUGCGACCAAUCUCAUCUCAAGGAGUGAUUAUCCGACAACAAAUUUGUUUCUAAAACAAGUUUGUCUAAUCAAAAUCAUGUUGGAUAGAAAGAGUGAAGAUGAAGAUGAAGAUGAUUUUAUUAGGAACAUGGUUAGGAAAAUGAAAGAGAAGUUUGACAAAUAUUGGAGGGAAUGUAAUCUACUGAUGGCUGUGGCUGCUGUAUUGGACCUUAGAUUGAAGAUGAAGGUGAUUCAAUGGUUGUUCUCUAAAAUGUAUCUUGACCUUGAAGCGUGGGCAAAUACUGUUAUUAUUCGGGAUGCCUUGUAUGAGGUAUAUGGGGUAUAUGGUGAGUAUGUUGAUGCUAGUAAAACAUCGACUAUUGCCUGCGCUUUCACAUCAGCAUGGGAUGGACUUCAGGCUCUUGGUGAGGGGUCGGGGCCAACGGCAGACAGAGCACAGGAUGGGAUGAUUUUACUAACUUUCGGGACGUGGUAGAGACUAUAGAGCCAAGUAAAUCUGAGUUAGACUAUUAUUUGGGAGAGAGAUGCCAUAAAUAUGUGGAAGAUCUUGGUGCAUUUGAUGCUUUGUAGUGGUGGAGGGCAAAUUCAACAAAGUACCCAAUUUUGUCUACCAUGGCUCGUGAAGUAUUAGCCAUCCAUAUCACUAAAGUUGCUUCUAAGUCUGCUUUUAGUGCCGGGAGUAGGGUAAUUGACACGUAUCGAUCGUUGUUGACUCCCGACACGGUGGAGAUGCUCUUAUGUGGAUGUGAUUGGUGUCGUUCUUUGAAUGGGGUGAAGAAAGGGUGCAAACUUCCUAUCCCCUAAGUUCCUGGGAUUCAGUAUAUGGUUUGGCUAUAGUAGCAGGCAUGCGUUGGUCCAAGUUGCUUCAUUUUGGUUUGGUUUCAUUAUUAUGCAGAGAUUAAAAUGUAAGAGUUACCUAAACCACAUGGAAGCAUGCAAGAUCUCUUAUUCUUGUAAUUUUAUAUCAGUUUUAUAGCAAAUUAAUUAGAAUAUUUACAUAAAAAGAAACUUACUAAAUUGAAUUUAUUUGCAGCCCUAAGAAAUUGGUGGUUUCGGAAGAAGAAACCCAUCUACAGCCACCUAUUUUUUUUAUUACUGGACAGUGGACAGCUAACUUUUGAUGACUUGGCCACCUAUUUUUGAUGUAUAGUUGGGCUGAAAUUGGGGGUGGUCAAACCAGGGUUGACCGAGCCUAAUCGAGCUGGCUCAAACUCGAACUUCCUAAGACAAGUUUGAUCACCAUUUCCGGAGCUCGACUGGCUCAAGCGCAAUCAUAUAAUAAUCGAGUGAAGCUCGAUUAGCCGAAAACUCGGCUCGGCUUGGCUCGAUUACAACCCUAGGUAAAUCUACUUUAAAAAGAAAUGGCAAGUCUUUCUUCAUUUUGUAUCAAAAUGUAUCAAUACAAGUAGACACAUCUUAGUCAAGUAAUGAUUUAUAUUUGUAAAUUUCUGAAAUUUGAGAAUUAUGCCUAAUCCAGAGGUGUGGAUCACCAUUUCAAACAAGGAAUGGAAAAUAGCAGGCAUUAACAAUUACAACAAAGAUAAAACAUGAACGGUCCAAUGACAGUCCCAUAACUCAGAGCAAAGUCAUUAAGUACUUCUCUAAUGACAUUAUUUCCCCAAUUACACUUCCAAACAGGAAGGCCUAUUAUAUUUCCUGUCCAUUGGUUUGAUACAAAAACAUGAA